rnacentral:rRNA from 1 species
CCUACGGGAGGCAGCAGUGGGGAAUAUUGGACAAUGGAGGGAACUCUUACCCAGCAAUGCCGCGUGAAUGAAGAAGUUCUUCGGAUUGUAAAGUUCUUUAAGUGGGGAAGAAAUAAAGGACUGUACCCAAGGAAUAAGCCCCGGCUAACUACGUGCCAGUAGCCGCGGUACUACGUAGGGGGCAAGCGUUGUUCGGAAUGACUGGGCGUGAAGGGUGUGUAGGAGGGGUAGCAAGUUCGAAGUUAAAUACCUAGAGCUUAACUCAGGUGCUGCUUCUAAAACUGCUAAACUUGAGUGCAGUAGAGGAAAGUGGAAUUCCUAGUGUAGCGGUGGAAUGCGUAGAUAUUAGGAGGAACAUCAGUGGCGAAGGCGACUUUCUGGACUGUAACUGACGCUGAGGCACGAAAGUGUGGGGAGCAAACAGGAUUAGAUACCCUUGUAGUC